rnacentral:rRNA from 1 species
AUUGAACGCUGGCGGCAGGCCUAACACAUGCAAGUCGAACGGUAACAGGAAGCAGCUUGCUGCUUUGCUGACGAGUGGCGGACGGGUGAGUAAUGUCUGGGAAACUGCCUGAUGGAGGGGGAUAACUACUGGAAACGGUAGCUAAUACCGCAUAACGUCGCAAGACCAAAGAGGGGGACCUUCGGGCCUCUUGCCAUCGGAUGUGCCCAGAUGGGAUUAGCUAGUAGGUGGGGUAACGGCUCACCUAGGCGACGAUCCCUAGCUGGUCUGAGAGGAUGACCAGCCACACUGGAACUGAGACACGGUCCAUACUCCUACGGGAGGCAGCAGUGGGGAAUAUUGCACAAUGGGCGCAAGCCUGAUGCAGCCAUGCCGCGUGUAUGAAGAAGGCCUUCGGGUUGUAAAGUACUUUCAGCGGGGAGGAAGGGAGUAAAGUUAAUACCUUUGCUCAUUGACGUUACCCGCAGAAGAAGCACCGGCUAACUCCGUG